rnacentral:rRNA from 1 species
UGCGGAGGGAUCAUUACUGAGUUUACGCUCUAUAACCCUUUGUGAACAUACCUAUAACUGUUGCUUCGGCGGGUAGGGUCUCCGUGACCCUCCCGGCCUCCCGCCCCCGGGCGGGUCGGCGCCCGCCGGAGGAUAACCAAACUCUGAUUUAACGACGUUUCUUCUGAGUGGUACAAGCAAAUAAUCAAAACUUUUAACAACGGAUCUCUUGGUUCUGGCAUCGAUGAAGAACGCAGCGAAAUGCGAUAAGUAAUGUGAAUUGCAGAAUUCAGUGAAUCAUCGAAUCUUUGAACGCACAUUGCGCCCGCCAGCAUUCUGGCGGGCAUGCCUGUUCGAGCGUCAUUUCAACCCUCAAGCUCUGCUUGGUGUUGGGGCCCUACAGCUGAUGUAGGCCCUCAAAGGUAGUGGCGGACCCUCCCGGAGCCUCCUUUGCGUAGUAACUUUACGUCUCGCACUGGGAUCCGGAGGGACUCUUGCCGUAAAACCCCCCAAUUUUCCAAAGGUUGACCUCGGAUCAGGUAGGAAUACCCGCUGAACUUAAGCAUAUCAUAA